CAAACAACUUUGUGAUAUUUAUAUUCCAUUGCACAGGUAGAGAUUAUACAAAUUAGUAAUACAAGUUAUUUCCUUAAAUUCCAAACAGUUUCUAAAAUAUCAUUACACCAGAUGCCUAGAAUAUUAAAACAUCGAGGUGGAAAUCAUACUCUAAGUAGUUAAAUAUGACACUGAAAAUAUUACACAUUUUAAUUAGAGGAGAAAAUUAAAAUGUGUGCUAAAAUGCUCUAACAAACUAAGUAGCAGGGCAACAGCUACAAGUAAGUCCCCGUGGUCCAUUUUUACGUAUGCAUAUAUGUGAUUAUUAGAGAACCUCUCUUCUUGAAAAUGCAUAAUUAAAACAAAAAAAUCUGGAUACAUGGAUUAAUGAAAUUUAAACAUUUCCUAAUACCUAAGCUCUAUGAUGAAGUGUACUAUUACCUAUGACUUCAUAUAACUAAUUCAAGAGAAAAGACACCACACUUGG
rnacentral:lncRNA from 1 species